rnacentral:rRNA from 1 species
GACGAACGCUGGCGGCGUGCUUAACACAUGCAAGUCGAACGCUGAAGCUCAGCUUUUGUUGGGUGGAUGAGUGGCGAACGGGUGAGUAACACGUGAGUAGCCUGCCCCCUUCUUUGGGAUAACGCCCGGAAACGGGUGCUAAUACUGGAUAUUCACUGGUCUUCGCAUGGGGGUUGGUGGAAAGGGUUUUUCUGGUGGGGGAUGGGCUCGCGGCCUAUCAGCUUGUUGGUGGGGUGAUGGCCUACCAAGGCUUUGACGGGUAGCCGGCCUGAGAGGGUGACCGGUCACAUUGGGACUGAGAUACGGCCCAGACUCCUACGGGAGGCAGCAGUGGGGAAUAUUGCACAAUGGGCGCAAGCAUGAUGCAGCGACGCCGCGUGAGGGAUGGAGGCCUUCGGGUUGUGAACCUCUUUCGCUCAUGGUCAAGCCGCAACAAUGGUUGUGGUGAGGGUAGUGGGUAAAGAAGCGCCGGCUAACUACGUG